AGAAUCAACGCUGGCGGCGUGCCUAACACAUGCAAGUCGAACGAGAAAGUGGAGCAAUCCACGAGUAAAGUGGCGCACGGGUGAGUAACACGUGACUAACCUACCCUUGAGUGGGGAAUAACUGAGGGAACCUUAGCUAAUACCGCAUAACACCUACGGGUCAAAGGAGCAAUUCGCUUAAGGAGGGGGUCGCGGCAGAUUAGUUAGUUGGCGGGGUAAUGGCCCACCAAGACAGUGAUCUGUA
rnacentral:rRNA from 1 species